UGGGGAAUUUUGGACAAUGGGGGAAACCCUGAUCCAGCCAUCCCGCGUGUGCGAUGAAGGCCUUCGGGUUGUAAAGCACUUUUGGCAGGAAAGAAACGUCGCGGGUUAAUACCCCGCGGAACUGACGGUACCUGCAGAAUAAGCACCGGCUAACUACGUGCCAGCAGCCGCGGUAAUACGUAGGGUGCAAGCGUUAAUCGGAAUUACUGGGCGUAAAGCGUGCGCAGGCGGUUCGGAAAGAAAGAUGUGAAAUCCCAGAGCUUAACUUUGGAACUGCAUUUUUAACUACCGGGCUAGAGUGUGUCAGAGGGAGGUGGAAUUCCGCGUGUAGCAGUGAAAUGCGUAGAUAUGCGGAGGAACACCGAUGGCGAAGGCAGCCUCCUGGGAUAACACUGACGCUCAUGCACGAAAAGCGUGGGGAGCAAACAGGAUUAGAUACCCUGGUAGUCCACGCCCUAAAACGAUGUCAACUAGCUGUUGGGGUCUUCGGACCUUGGUAGCGCAGCUAACGCGUGAAGUUGACCGCCUGGGGAGUACGGUCGCAAGAUUAAAAACUCAAAUG
rnacentral:rRNA from 1 species